GUUGAACACGUAUGGAAGCUUAAAUGUCCCCUUUUGUUUGUGCAAAUAAUCAUACACACUUCCCCCACUCAUGAACUCUGUAGGAAGAAACUGGAGGAGGUGAUGCCAAAGAGAUUACCAGUUGGAAUAGAGAAGGAGUUUGAUAAUUACAGGCAUAUCGUUGAUCCAACUUUUCAAUCUACUAACAGUAAAGGUGGCAGGGAUGCCAGUAGUAUUUUUUUCAGCAUUAGAGAGUAAAGGAAGAAUAGAUGUGAUGGAGCACCAUGGCUCUUUGUACCACGGUCUAAGUCUAGCACCGAGCAAUGAGGAUGCAAUAAAACUCGGACUAGCAGUGGUUGCAGCUGUAAAUGAGUUCUCAGCUCUGAAAACUACGAGUUCUCAGCUGUAAUCAAGUUAACUUGGGGUGCAUUAUGCAUAACUCAGAAGAUGCAUGAUGCUUUAUAUAUGGAUAGGUGCUUUUCCAACAGUUCAUUGAGACAAAAGAAAUGCUACUACUAGAUCAAGGAAACCUUCAAGUGCAGAAAGUUUUAUCUGCCAAUCAUAUAGAUGAAAAUGGGGAACAAUGUAUUGACAAAGUAAUUUUUCAAUAAACCUUUGGCUUGACAGCAUGCUACAAGAUUAUCACUUGCAUCUACUAAUUUUCAAGUCAUUAUUUGCCAUCUACACCCGGUGGAGAACAACCAAUUUUUUGACAUGGAGGAUUUGUUUUUUACAAGAUAUCUUAAACAAGAUAUACCUUAAUAGCAAUGUAGUAAUAGGUUAUAUAGUUAGGGAAAACCUCUUAAUAACAAUAUACAAUCAGAUCCCCUUAAUACAAAUGUAUUACAAUUUUUUGACAUGACGUUAUU